rnacentral:tRNA from 1 species
CAAAUUGUAGCUUGAAAGUUAAGUAAUUCAUUUACAUUGAAAAGGUGCCGUGCAAUUCGGCUUAAUUUGA